CGGGCGGGGCCGGGGGUG
rnacentral:ncRNA from 2 species